UUUUACAAUGGAGAGUUUGAUCCUGGCUCAGGAUGAACGCUAGCUACAGGCUUAACACAUGCAAGUCGAGGGGAAACGGCAUUGAGUGCUUGCACUCUUUGGACGUCGACCGGCGCACGGGUGAGUAACGCGUAUCCAACCUUCCCAUUACUGUGGGAUAACCUGCCGAAAGGCAGACUAAUACCGCAUAGUCUUCGAUGACGGCAUCAGAUUUGAAGUAAAGAUUUAUCGG
rnacentral:rRNA from 1 species